GAUGAACGCUGGCGGCGUGCCUAAUACAUGCAAGUCGAGCGAACAGACGAGGAGCUUGCUCCUCUGACGUUAGCGGCGGACGGGUGAGUAACACGUGGAUAACCUACCUAUAAGACUGGGAUAACUUCGGGAAACCGGAGCUAAUACCGGAUAAUAUGUUGAAUCGCAUGGUUCAACAGUGAAAGACGGUCUUGCUGUCACUUAUAGAUGGAUCCGCGCCGCAUUAGCUAGUUGGUAAGGUAACGGCUUACCAAGGCAACGAUGCGUGGCCGACCUGAGAGGGUGAUCGGCCACACUGGAACUGAGACACGGUCCAGACUCCUACGGGAGGCAGCAGUAGGGAAUCUUCCGCAAUGGGCGAAAGCCUGACGGAGCAACGCCGCGUGAGUGAAGAAGGUCUUCGGAUCGUAAAACUCUGUUAUUAGGGAAGAACAAAUGUGUAAGUAACUAUGCACGUCUUGACGGUACCUAAUCAGAAAGCCACGGCUAACUACGUG
rnacentral:rRNA from 1 species